rnacentral:rRNA from 1 species
CCACCGGAAAAAGAGGAGUGGCGAACGGGUGAGUAACACGUGGGUAACCUGCCCAUCAGAAGGGGAUAACACUUGGAAACAGGUGCUAAUACCGUAUAACAAUCGAAACCGCAUGGUUUUGAUUUGAAAGGCGCUUUCGGGUGUCGCUGAUGGAUGGACCCGCGGUGCAUUAGCUAGUUGGUGAGGUAACGGCUCACCAAGGCCACGAUGCAUAGCCGACCUGAGAGGGUGAUCGGCCACAUUGGGACUGAGACACGGCCCAAACUCCUACGGGAGGCAGCAGUAGGGAAUCUUCGGCAAUGGACGAAAGUCUGACCGAGCAACGCCGCGUGAGUGAAGAAGGUUUUCGGAUCGUAAAACUCUGUUGUUAGAGAAGAACAAGGAUGAGAGUAACUGUUCAUCCCUUGACGGUAUCUAACCAGAAAGCCACGGCUAACUACGUGCCAGCAGCCGCGGUAAUACGUAGGUGGCAAGCGUUGUCCGGAUUUAUUGGGCGUAAAGCGAGCGCAGGCGGUUUCUUAAGUCUGAUGUGAAAGCCCCCGGCUCAACCGGGGAGGGUCAUUGGAAACUGGGAGACUUGAGUGCAGAAGAGGAGAGUGGAAUUCCAUGUGUAGCGGUGAAAUGCGUAGAUAUAUGGAGGAACACCAGUGGCGAAGGCGGCUCUCUGGUCUGUAACUGACGCUGAGGCUCGAAAGCGUGGGGAGCAAACAGGAUUAGAUACCCUGGUAGUCCACGCCGUAAACGAUGAGUGCUAAGUGUUGGAGGGUUUCCGCCCUUCAGUGCUGCAGCUAACGCAUUAAGCACUCCGCCUGGGGAGUACGACCGCAAGGUUGAAACUCAAAGGAAUUGACGGGGGCCCGCACAAGCGGUGGAGCAUGUGGUUUAAUUCGAAGCAACGCGAAGAACCUUACCAGGUCUUGACAUCCUUUGACCACUCUAGAGAUAGAGCUUCCCCUUCGGGGGCAAAGUGACAGGUGGUGCAUGGUUGUCGUCAGCUCGUGUCGUGAGAUGUUGGGUUAAGUCCCGCAACGAGCGCAACCCUUAUUGUUAGUUGCCAUCAUUCAGUUGGGCACUCUAGCAAGACUGCCGGUGACAAACCGGAGGAAGGUGGGGAUGACGUCAAAUCAUCAUGCCCCUUAUGACCUGGGCUACACACGUGCUACAAUGGGAAGUACAACGAGUUGCGAAGUCGCGAGGCUAAGCUAAUCUCUUAAAGCUUCUCUCA